rnacentral:ncRNA from 1 species
UACCUAGUUGAUCCUGCCAGUAGUCAUAUGCUUGUCCCAAAGAUUAAGCCAU